AACGAACGCUGGCGGCAGGCCUAACACAUGCAAGUCGAGCGAACCCUUCGGGGUUAGCGGCGGACGGGUUAGUAACGCGUGGGAAUAUACCCCUUUGGUACGGAAUAGCCUCGGGAAACUGAGAGUAAUACCGUAUGUGCCCUUCGGGGAAAGGAUUCAUCGCCAAAGGAUUAGCCCGCGUUGGAUUAGAUAGUUGGUGGGGUAAGUGGCCUACCAAGUCUACGAUCCAUAGCUGGUUUGAGAGGAUGAUCAGCAACACUGGGACUGAGACACGGCCCAGACUCCUACGGGAGGCAGCAGUGGGGGAAUCUUAGACAAUGGGCGGCAAGCCUGAUCUAGCCAUGCCGCGUGGACGAUGAAGGCCUUAGGGUUGUAAAGUACCUUUCUAGAUGGGAAGAUAAUGACGGUACCAUCAGAAGAAAGCCCCGGCCUAACUACCGUG
rnacentral:rRNA from 1 species